rnacentral:lncRNA from 1 species
CCUUUAUAUUCAGUGCCCUCAUACUAUACACAUAUUAUCUUCUGUUACAGUUACCAGUCUCUAUAACUUGACCUCUACAGAGAGUACCACCGUCAUUUCACUUAACGCAGGAUUUUUGGAAUCUGCAACAGCAGAGGUAACGAGGCAGUGAGAAUAAGGAUGUAAAGCUGGAGGAAACUGAAAAACCCAUUUGUUAUAGAUGAAUUCACCUCCUGGAGGGGCAUCGCCAAACACCGCCA